ensembl:lncRNA
CCCCAACGCGCUUCGUCUCGACAAUAAGAAUCUUCCAGAAUGUUCUUUGGUUAACCCCUUCGCCUCACCCUUGCCCACCCCCUACUCCGACCUCACAGUCAAUGCCAUCAAAACACCCAGCGUGAAACCCACACAAACGGUGUCACGUCUUCAGCGUCCAUGUUGGAAGUCUUCUCUGCGAUCCCAGACUAACUACUGAACGUGGUGGAGGCUGCGUAAUAAGCUGUUCGUGAACAUUAUGGAUGAAGCAGGGGGUCUCGCCGUAACUCUCAGCUUCAGUGAAUUGUUGAGAAGACCUCGGGCAGAUGUGUGAGAUAAUGGUGGGUUCUGAUAGCGAUGGCACCUCUGCAACAAAAAUAUGACUGCGUCAUGAUGCAUUUCCUGUUCCUGUUCUGAGUCGGUCCGUACCACCCUUGGGGACUGUAAGUUAAAGAAGACCGGUACUCCUAAUCCCAGCUCGUUACCUGUAUAAAAGACACCUGGGAGCCAGAAAACGUUCUGACUGAGAGGGGAUCAAAUACCUAUGUCACUC